UAGCUAAGUGAACUUUCGCCAAAGUGCCGGACAAAUCUGUAGGCGGCCAGUAACCUGGACCUGGCAGCGGAAGUGUAUUUAAAUCGCUUUUAAUGGAAAAAUAUGCAAAGCAGCGGCAGCCUACGUAAGCUAGUUGGCUCUGGAGGCUGUUGCAAAUCUGUGCGGACUAUUGGCCCGUCAGGUUCCGGCAGUAGGAUCCCAGGCAGCCGCCCUUCAUUAAAAUUCCAAACAUUUUCACUUUACCAAGACGCGCGCACGGAAAUGCUGACACACUUUAAAACAAUUUUCUGGCGUUCUUCCCGUUUUGUCUGCGGGGGCGACGACGGCGCUGCCAACGCAGGACAUAUGACAAACUUGACGUAGCAUGUCAAAAGAUUUCAAGGCAAUUUGGCAGUGACAGAGACCAGGACAGCCACAGAGAGUGGAAGAGGCGACCGACGUGUGUCUAUGCAGUGCAAACAGUGCUGGGAAGUGUAGAAAACUUUGACUAUGCUGUCAAGUAUGCAAUGAACAUAAAUUGAAAUUCGAUUGGUACAAGAACAUUUCAAAUUAGUCAAUUUAAUGUGUCACUUGUUUGUAGCAGAAGCUCAGUGCUGUAAGCACUUGUUUAGAUGCAGUAAAACUUUUACGGAUGACUCGCCAAGAACAAUUAUAAAUCUAAUCCAAUGUAAGACCUUUUAUAUGAGCACUCAGUAAAACGUUAUCGAAGGGUGUGCAAAUAACAAUUGAGAGGAAUAAAGAAAUUGCGAAAGAGAAAGAGCGAGAGAGAGAAAGACUAGUUGGCUAACUAGUUUAGGCACUUUCCUGGAUCGCAGCAUCAAAAGGUUGACAAUUUUUGCUUUAAUAGAGAAAGCAUUGACAUCGAGUUUAAGCGAAUAUUUUUGCAGUAGAGGGAUUUCAAAUUGACAGCUCUCGAUUGAGUUAAUGCUAUAGAGCAAUCGCGUAUUUAUUUGAUGACAAAUCCCUAAUUUAAUUCAUAGUAGGUAAGUCAACAUGAUACAUUGCAGGAAAUUAAACCUUUACGAAAAACGUUUUCAAAAAA